AUUGAACGCUGGCGGCAGGCCUAACACAUGCAAGUCGAACGAGUGCCGGACAGGUGUGUAUUGUCUGGGAAAAUGCCCGCUUGAGGGGGAUAACUCCUGGAAACGGUAGCUAAAACCGCAUACCAUCGGAUGUGCCCCACUGGGAUUAGCUAGUAGGUGGGGUAACGGCUAACCUAGGCGACGAGCCCUAGCUGGUCUGAGAGGAGGACCAGCCACACUGGCACUGAGACACGGUCCAGACUCCUACGGGAGGCAGCAGUGGGGAAUAUUGCACAAUGGGCGCAAGCCUGAUGCAGCCAUGCCGCGUGUAUGAAGAAGGCCUUCGGGUUGUAAAGUACUUUCAGCGAGGAGGCGUUACUCGCAGAAUAAGCACCGGCUAACUCCGUGCCAGCAGCCGCGGUAAUUC
rnacentral:rRNA from 1 species